rnacentral:lncRNA from 1 species
AAUCCUUACAUAGCAUCAAGGCUCCUCUUGUUCUAGAGUUGUUGACCAAGCAAGCGCUAGUCAACACCAAGCUAGGUCUUGCUAGACCUCAAGGUAAGGAUCUCUCUAUCUUUUUGAUUUUCUGGCAUGUUACCAAUUUUUUUUAACUUCAUUUUUAUUUCUAUAGAUACGGCAAAUAAGUUGAUGGUGAGAAAAAUGGUCAUCGUCAAAUGCGAGGUGACGAUGGAAGAUCGAUCGUCAAUCAUCUACCCAGAGACCAUAUGGUGCUUCUCCCUCUUGCCCGAGUUGGGGCACAACUGCAACCACCCCAACCUUGCAAGCUAGUCAGCUCCAUUUAGAGAUGGUCAUGCAUAAGGGAUAAGCUAAAAGAGCUUGGUGGCAACAAAGCUACGAAGGUUCGAGAAACA